rnacentral:rRNA from 1 species
UACGUAGGGAGCAAGCGUUGUCCGGAAUCAUUGGGCGUAAAGCGCGCGUAGGCGGCCUCAUAAGUCCGUUGUGAAAGUCAAAGGCUCAACCUUUGAAAGCCGAUGGAUACUGUGGGGCUAGAGUCCGGAAGAGGCGAGUGGAAUUCCUGGUGUAGCGGUGAAAUGCGCAGAUAUCAGGAAGAACACCCGUGGCGAAGGCGGUUCUCUGGGACGGUACUGACGCUGAGACGCGAAAGCGUGGGGAGCGAACAGG